rnacentral:rRNA from 1 species
CAAAAACAUCGCCUCUUGCAAAACUAAAGAAUAAGAGGUCCCGCCUGCCCUGUGACAAUAUGUUUAACGGCCGCGGUAUUUUGACCGUGCGAAGGUAGCGCAAUCACUUGUCUCUUAAAUGGAGACCUGUAUGAAUGGCAUAACGAGGGCUUAACUGUCUCCUUUUCCCAGUCAAUGAAAUUGAUCUUCCCGUGCAGAAGCGGGAAUUAAAACAUAAGACGAGAAGACCCUAUGGAGCUUUAGAUACUAAGAUAGAUCAUGUUAAACAACCCUGACAAAGGCACGAACUAAAUGGUCCCUAUCCUAAUAUCUUCGGUUGGGGCGACCGCGGGGCAACACAAAACCCCCAUGUGGAAUGGAAGUACCACCUCCCAAAACCAAGAGCCACAGCUCUAAGCAACAGAACAUCUGACCAGCAAGAUCCGGCAAAGCCGAUCAACGAACCAAGUUACCCUAGGGAUAACAGCGCAAUCCCCUUCUAGAGCCCAUAUCGACAAGAGGGUUUACGACCUCGAUGUUGGAUCAGGACAUCCUAACGGUGCAGCCGCUAUUAAGGGUUCGUUUGUUCAACGAUUAAAGUCCUACGUGAUCU